rnacentral:rRNA from 1 species
GGUCAAGGAUGGACUCGCGGCCUAUCAGCUUGUUGGUGAGGUAAUGGCUCACCAAGGCGACGACGGGUAGCCGGCCUGAGAGGGUGACCGGCCACACUGGGACUGAGACACGGCCCAGACUCCUACGGGAGGCAGCAGUGGGGAAUAUUGCACAAUGGGCGCAAGCCUGAUGCAGCAACGCCGCGUGGGGGAUGACGGCCUUCGGGUUGUAAACCUCUUUUAGUAGGGAAGAAGCGAAAGUGACGGUACCUGCAGAAAAAGCACCGGCUAACUACGUGCCAGCAGCCGCGGUAAUACGUAGGGUGCAAGCGUUGUCCGGAAUUAUUGGGCGUAAAGAGCUCGUAGGCGGUUUGUCGCGUCUGCUGUGAAAACUGGAGGCUCAACCUCCAGCCUGCAGUGGGUACGGGCAGACUAGAGUGCGGUAGGGGAGAUUGGAAUUCCUGGUGUAGCGGUGGAAUGCGCAGAUAUCAGGAGGAACACCGAUGGCGAAGGCAGAUCUCUGGGCCGUAACUGACGCUGAGGAGCGAAAGCGUGGGGAGCGAACAGGAUUAGAUACCCUGGUAGUCCACGCCGUAAACGUUGGGAACUAGAUGUGGGGGCCAUUCCACGGUCUCCGUGUCGCAGCUAACGCA